rnacentral:rRNA from 1 species
CCUACGGGAGGCAGCAGUAGGGAAUAUUGGUCAAUGGGCGAAACCCUGACCCAACAACGUCGCGUGAUCGAUGAAGCCCCUACGGGUGGAAAGAUUCGUUAGUGGGGACGAAACCUGACGGUAGCCACACAGUAAGCACCGGCUAACUCCGUGACAGCAGCCGCGGUAAUAAGGGGGGGGCAAGCGUGGUCCGGAAUCAUUGGGCGUAAAGGGAUCGUAGGGGGCACGUUAAGUCUGGUGUUAAAAGCGGAAGCUCAACUUCCGUAGGGCACUGGAUACUGGCGGGCUUGAGUGCGGUAGAAGUAGGGGGAAUGCCUGGUGUAGCGGUGAAAUGCAUAGAUAUCAGGCAGAACAUCGAUGGCGAAGGCAGUUUACUGGGCCGUAAUUGACACUGAGGAACGAAAGCGGGGGUAGCGAAUGGGAUUAGAUACCCCUGUAGUC